GUCAGCAGGGGGAAUAACCCAGGGCUGUGAAUGAGCCCUGUCACUGUGAUCAGGUUCCUCCUUCUAAUCCACCAACUUAGUGUUGAUGAAGACUAAACAGAGAGAUCCCAGCCUUCUUUCUACUUGCUGUAGCUCAGAGUUACUCCACACUGCAGAUAUGACGCCUCUGUUCAUCUCAGUGCUGCUGGCUGCUAUGAGCCUUGAAUGCAGAGCACAACAAGACAACGUGCUGCAACCAACAGGAGAUGUGACUGCUACUGAAGGAGAGGCAGUAACACUUGGCUGUCAAUAUAGCAGCAGUUCAACUAGUAAUUAUCUCUUCUGGUACAAACAGGAUGGAAACAACAGCCCCAAAUUCAUUCUGAUACGCGUUCAAGGGGAUGAAGGGAACACAGCGGACGAGUUCAGGGACAGAUUUUCAUCUACACACAAUUCCAAGUUAAAGUCAGUUCAUCUGCAGAUCUCCUCAGCUAAGCUGUCUGACUCUGCUGUGUACUACUGUGCUCUGCAGCCCACAGUGACAGGAAACACCAAAACUCUGUACAAAAACCUUUGGAGCAAAGACAACACAAUACUCCACAACGUCCACCAGAGGGAGACACACUCUGUUAACCUUCAGAGUAUUUCAUGAGCCCGUCAGGAUUCUUUUCACUAAUGAAACCCAGUUGUGAUGAAGACUUGGAGAAAUGAAAGUAAGUCAACAUCUGAGUCUCCUCCUCCUGACUGCAGAGGUGGCUUCAUGACAGACAACUGUUUGAUUCCAGCUGUGAACAUCAGACCAACAACUCACAACACU